GAUGAACGCUGGCGGCGUUCCUAAUACAUGCAAGUCGAGCGAACAGACGAGGAGCUUGCUCCUCUGACGUUAGCGGCGGACGGGUGAGUAACACGUGGAUAACCUACCUAUAAGACUGGGAUAACUUCGGGAAACCGGAGCUAAUACCGGAUAACAUGUUGAACCGCAUGGUUCAACAGUGAAAGACGGUUUUGCUGUCACUUAUAGAUGGAUCCGCGCCGCAUUAGCUAGUUGGUAAGGUAACGGCUUACCAAGGCAACGAUGCGUAGCCGACCUGAGAGGGUGAUCGGCCACAGUGGAAAUGAGAAACGGUCCAGAAUCCUACGGGAGGCAGAAGUAGGGAAUCUUCCGCAAAGGGCGAAAGCCUGACGGAGAAACGACGCGUGAGUGAAGAAGGUCUUCGGAUCGUAAAACUCUGUUAUUAGGGAAGAACAAAUGUGUAAGUAACUAGGCACGUCUUGACGGUACCUAAUCAGAAAGCCACGGAUAACUACGUG
rnacentral:rRNA from 1 species